rnacentral:rRNA from 1 species
UAGGCCCUACGGGGGGCAGCAGUGAGGAAUAUUGGUCAAUGGCCGUAAGGCUGAACCAGCCAAGUAGCGUGAGGGAAGACUGCCCUAUGGGUUGUAAACCUCUUUUAUGCGGGGAUAAAGGUGUCCACGUGUGGAUGUUUGCAGGUACCGCAUGAAUAAGGACCGGCUAAUUCCGUGCCAGCAGCCGCGGUAAUACGGAGGAUGCGAGCGUUAUCCGGAUUUAUUGGGUUUAAAGGGUGCGUAGGCGGAAUGCCAAGUCAGCGGUAAAAUCGCGGGGCUCAACCUCGCUCCGCCGUUGCAACUGG